GUAUGAUUGCAAAUGAGACAACUAUCCACAAAAGACCAAAAUGACACAGACAUUAACAACUAUAGGUCAUCGUACGGCCUUCAACAAUGAGCAAAGCCCAUACCGCAUAGUCAGCUAUUAAAGGCCCCGAUAAGACAAUGUAAAACAAUUCAAACGAGAAAACUAACGGCCUUAUUUAUGUAAAAAAAAAUGAACGAAAAUCAAAUAUGUAACACAUAAACAAACGACAACCACUGAAUUACAGGCUCCUGACUUGGGACAGGCACAUACAUAAAUAAUGUGGCGGGGUUAAACAUGUUAGCGGGAUCCCAACCCUCCCCUAACCUGGGACAGUGGUAUAACAGAACAA
rnacentral:lncRNA from 1 species